rnacentral:rRNA from 1 species
UGGGUGAUCUGCCCUGCACUUCGGGAUAAGCCUGGGAAACUGGGUCUAAUACCGGAUAUACCUCAUUGAUCUCCUGGUUGGUGGGGGAAAGCUUUUGCGGUGUGGGAUGGGCCCGCGGCCUAUCAGCUCGUUGGUGAGGUUACGGCUCACCAAGGCGUCGACGGGUAGCCGGCCUGAGAGGGUGUCCGGCCACACUGGGACUGAGAUACGGCCCAGACUCCUACGGGAGGCAG